UACGUAGGUGGCAAGCGUUGUCCGGAUUUACUGGGUGUAAAGGGCGUGCAGCCGGGAGUGCAAGUCAGAUGUGAAAUCCCGCGGCUCAACCGCGGAACUGCAUUUGAAACUGUGCUUCUUGAGCGCUGGAGAGGCAGACGGAAUUCCUAGUGUAGCGGUGAAAUGCGUAGAUAUUAGGAGGAACACCAGUGGCGAAGGCGGUCUGCUGGACAGUAACUGACGGUGAGGCGCGAAAGCGUGGGGAGCAAACAGG
rnacentral:rRNA from 1 species